UGAGUAAAUAGUUUGAAAUCUCUCUUGGACUUUCUCACUUGCAGAAUAGCUGGGUUGCCAUCGUGCUAUUUAACUUUCUCCAGUUGCUGCUAAAAGAAAAUAAUUUUGGAGACCAUUUUGGCAGUCAUUUGACCAAACACAUUUAGCUUUUGCAAUAUCCUCAGGAAUUAUAAGAAACAUGGAAGAAACAAGAGAGUUAAAGUACAUGUCAGGAUUUGGUAAUGAAUUCAGCUCUGAAGAUCCACACUGCCCUGGAGCUUUACCAGAAGGACAGAAUAAUCCUCAGGUCUGCCCAUAUGGUCUGUAUGCUGAACAGCUCUCAGGUUCAGCUUUUACCUGUCCACGAUCCUCCAAUAGG